ACUUCCUUAGUUCAAUGGCAGAACGUCAUCUUUACACGGUGAGCGUCAUAGGUUCGAUUCCUGUAGGAAGUACCA
rnacentral:tRNA from 1 species